AUGAAUUCACACUUUAAUGUUAGUAUUCUUAUUAGUUUUAAUUUUAAGAAGAAAACACAAAACCAAAACACUUUUAGUAAAUCCAAAAAUUACAUUUCAAAGAUCAGUGUUUGGAAAUGCCACUUCCUUGAAAUUGAAGUUGAUGGAAACUCAAGCUUCUUCAUCUUAUGUAAAUAUUAUUAUCAAUUUUCGUUGCUCUGGUUAUACUUGUUGAAGUCAACAACAAAUACUAAAAUUCCAAACUGUGAUGAAG